GAAAGGUGGCAGUGUGAAGGCAGUGACGGCAGUUGUUAAUUGCAGUAUAAUCCCUUCAGCUUUUGGAUGUCCGUCUAACCAAUGACCAAAGCAACACAAGAUCAUUUUUGAAUUGGGAGAAAUCAAUGAAUGACGUCAAGCAAAAUGGCGAAGAGAAUUUGCUUACCGCGGUUUCGGUGGCAAGUGCAACGGGGAAUGUUGACGUUGGCAUGAAAAAGGGGGCAGGACCAAUGCGCUCUUGACUCUUUAGUUUGGUGCUUACAGUCGUUUGUUCCAACCAGAAAGCGACGUGUUUGUUGAGAAACAGUCGUGUUUCAGACGCAUCGUUGGAAACACUUGAUUUCUUUAUUACGUAACCAAACUCGAAGAAAAAUGGAUCAUUUUUCGUCUGGAAAUGGAGUUCAAGCGACAAAUUCAAACGCAGAACCGGUAAAAAACAAUGCAGCUGAUUUAUGUAAUGUCAAGCAGAAACAAAAGCAUUCAGUGCUUUGCACCGUGACGCAAGAAAACAUGCGCAUGCGCCAAACCAUUGACCAAACGACGCGUAAAAUGAACCAAUGGAUACGUCAAACUCAACAACAAACUGGGAGCUUCAUAAAGCUCAUGGACACGCUCAAGGCGUCCAUGCCGAACCAGAACAACUCACGACACAAUUUAGACGCAAUGAUUAAACAGAUGAAAGAUCGGGAGUCCCGAUGGGCUCAAGAAAGGCUGGCCUUUGAAGACAUGCAAAAACGUUCGACGACUAAAUAAUUUUCAGUCAGCAACGAGAAAUCACCGGAAUUCCGGGUGGUGACCUCGGUGAUAACAAGGUUUAAACGAGGAAAGGGUUCAAUAACUUGUGUUGAAAAUCCAUCCUUGAAGUGCCGGUAACGGCCGCUUGUGGUGCGAGUGUCCCACGUUCGCAGGGUGGACUUCUAUCUGCAACCAUCUGUGCGUUGCAUUCAUCACGUUUGCAACGCUUUUCAUCAUCGAGUUGAAAAAUAUCGUUACUGUCGCGCGCGAAUCAUUAGUCGUUUUGGUCGGUACAUUUGGCUUGCCAUAAUCUUUACCCAAAAAACGCUGGUGUCCCGGACAACGUGACGUGAGUGGGUGUAACACGAAUAUUUUUGUUAGUCUUAAUAUAAACGGAAGUCGGUAAAUGUUGCUAUGAUAACGCCACGCUGCAAUUGUCGUUGAGGCUUUGCGUUCAGUGGUUUCCUGCGUCUGUUGCUCGUCAAAUGUUGUAAUUAUUUUCAACGAAACGCGUUAACCGCUAUACUUAGCAAACAUUAUAAAGGAAAAUCAAAAUCGCGCAGAGAGGGAUUGCAAAAUCUGCAUAGAUGAACCCAAUACAGCGAAUAGGUGGCGCGCAAUCAACUGAGGGGGGAGGACUUAACGAAUUUUGGUUCCUCUUUCUCGUAGUACUGCCAUCUGUUUGGCAUCACAGACGGAACGGUGCGCACAGACACGUGGAAUCAGAGGUGGAGUGAAGAAAAACUCGUCUCUCCUUUCUUUCUUGCGAAUGUAAAGGAGAAAAUGAAAACAGGUGCUAAUAGAGUUAACGAAUGGGAGAGAA